rnacentral:rRNA from 1 species
CACCGCCCGUCACACCAUGGGAGUUGGGUUUACCCGAAGACGGUGCGCUAACUCAGCAAUGAGAGGCAGCCGGCCACGGUAGGCUUAGCGACUGGGUG